AAAGACAGCUGGGUGAGAACGACUCAGCCCCGUGUUACUGGUUUUGAAUGAGGAAGGGGCUACGAGCCAAGGAAUGUGGGAGAUGUCUAGAAGCUGGAAAAGGCAAGGAAAUGGAUUCUCCCCGAGAGCCUCUAGAAGGAGCACAGCCUUGCCAACACCCUGAUCCCAGCCAGUGAGACUGUGUGGGACUUCUGACUACAGAACUGUAAGAGAAUACAUCUGGGUUGUUUUAAGCCACUAAAUUUGUGGUAAUUUGUUACUGCGGCAAUAGAAAACUGCAUUGGGUAUCUACAUUUCAUUUCAUUCCAGUGGUACUUAAUUGCUAUUUUAAUUUGUAUUUCUCUGAUUUUGGGGGGAGAGCACAUCUACUGUUCUGUCUAACCAGAAAAGACUCUUCUGGGAAAUGCUCCCUCUCUUCCUUCUAAAUAUGUGGUCCAAAAUCCAGCUGGACACCUGGGGGAGGCUAAGCCGUUCAGAACCUUUCUUUGUAGUUUAAAAUUUUAGGAUUAGAGAAACAAACUCCAUCCUUCUGUGUUAGUGCAGAGGGAGAGGUGAGUCACGCCGACUGCCAGGGGCAUGUUUCUGCCAUCUGCACAAAACCUGCUGGAGAGAAUGAUGCUGACAGGCAGAGGAAAGCAAGCAAGAGGGACAGGGAGAAAGUCUCAGUGGUUUUGGUCACUGAGGUCAGCCGCAUCCCUGCUCUUCUUCAGGCUGUGUGACACUUCCAACAAAUGUCUUUUUUGCAGAAAGGAGUUUGAGUUGUGUUCCUGUCACUUACUACUAAAAGAAUCGUAAUACAGAAAUUGGAACCUGACUGGGGAGUGGAAAUUGGUGAGCCCCAAAUGGCUGAAUCAAGGCUGGUUGGGGAGAGGGGGGUGCCAUGAGUAUCUGUAGACCCUAGGCUGGGAAAAUUGCAUUCCUUAUUUUUAUGUUAUCAAGGCAGUUGGCUAGACUAUCUUCCAGCGGCUCUUGGGACUCCAGCCACGUGCCAUUCAGACUUAUACUUUGGUAUGAAAAUACCAGGAUAAUAGAAUGAGUCAGUGAUUGCUCUCAGCCUGUGGUAGGGUGCCGUAAAAGAGAGGAAGAGAGGACCUGGAAGAAGCAAGCAUUUAGGGAGCCUCUGGACAGACAGGUACAGCUUUAGGAGAGGUCUUUCUGUUGGUAGCCAGCAGUCCCAAAGGGCCAAGGUCACAGAGUCGCGCCCUUUGCUCAACAGCAAAAGCCUAAUGCUCUGCCCUAUGCUAAAGGUUCUGCUCUGAUUCAGAAGCUGUAGAAUCCUGGAAACUGGAGUGGUGAUACCUGGGAAGGACCACAACCAGCCAAGCGCCUCAUGAUGUGCACUCCCUGACUGAUGAGGAAUUGCCAGCCUCCCCCACCACAGCCCAGCGUGAUGCAAAAGUCCCUGAGCAGGGACAACAUUGAGGGCAGAGCAGCCAGCCGUGCCUUCCCUCCUCACAUUUCCCGCUGAGCCCUGGAGGAAGGGCAGAGCCUCCGGAGCUGCCCUGAGAAGCUGGAGCCACGUGGGUGGCGUCCAAUAUGCCCUCAUGCCUUACAGCUUUCUGGGGUUGGUUACUGGCCAAAAGAGACCCCCAAAAUGAAACUCACUAUCAGCUGAUUAAGAUUUCAGAGUUGAAGAGUUAAUAAAGCCCAAGUCUGCCAAACUGAGGUGUGUGAUUACUCCAACCACUAAAGGAGUUAGUUUUCAAACAUUCUUAAUGAUAAGAAUCACCUGAGACGAUUGUUAAAAAUAGAGAUUCCCAAGCACCUCCCCUUGGAGAGUCAGUGGAUGUGGUGUGUGAUUGAAAAUCUGUAUUUUCACUGAAUUCCCCAGGAUAUUUCUAUCAUCCAGCAAGUUCGGGAAACUCUAUCAUGAGGCAAUUCCCAGGUGUCUAGACCAUCAGGAAGUGGUUCGUGAGGCAGUCCAGCCCCGAGUGUGGGGAUCCUCUCCACCACCCUGCUUGCGAGGGGUCUUAUGGACGUGGGCAAGGGAAAUGUUCCCAACAGGCAGAGCCUGGAGAGUCAGCCUGCGAGCAGAGAACUCAUUCUUUGCCAAGAGGCAGGGAUAUUCAACAGCCACAGCUCUGACCUCACCAUCCCUGUCCAGCUGGAUGUGGUUUAAACGCUGGACCAGUGACCACUGCAUAUCGCCUCCUUUUCACUCAUUUUAAACGGUAGCAUUUAUGACGGUUACCCUGUUUUCCACCAGCAUCAUACAUGAGGUGUGUUGGUGGUUAUAGUAAUCACAUAGCCAACGAGGGCAAGAUCAUGGGGAGCCACGAGAAGACUUGACCAAGAGGAAUAGACACACUCAAGAAUCCUGAACUCGGACUUGCUGUCAAAUAGCCCUCAAAGCUAACGCUUCAAGCACCACUCCUAUCCACACCCAAACUCACUCCUUUUCUCCAAAUAUGUAGAAACAAUAUCUAGCAUGUAUGAAACACUUGGUGUGUUCUAGGCACUGCUUAACUGCUUUAUGUGCAUCCGUCACUCAAUCCUCCCAACAGUCCUAUUAGGUAGGUGCUAUUAUUAUCCCUCAGUUCACAGAUGGGGAAACUGAGGCUCAGAGGGAUGAAGACACCUGCCUGAGGUCACGAAGCUAUUAAGUCAGGGAGCCAAGAUCUGCACACAGGCAGUGAGUGCCCAGACCUGAGUUCUUAACCAUCAAUCCACACUGCCUCUCCAGUGAAAGUGAGACAUAAGAAAGAGAGGAAAAUAAAGGAAGACAGCCACAUUUCAGAAGAAAAAUAAACAUCUCUGUGGAUCGGAAAUAGAAAAGAAACAGGAAAACUAAUGUGAAGAAAGGCCGCCAACAAAAGCAAUCAGUGGAGAUAAACUUCCUCCAGAUGAAAAGAAAAUAGUAGAGCAAGAUGAAAAUGAUUGUAAAAAUAAGCACGUUUAGAAUCCUCAAAAGACGAGGGAAGAAAUGAACAAGAGUAAGUGGAUAUGGAAGAAGAACAAUUAGAAACCCUGGAAAUGAAAAAAUCCAGUACUGGAAAUAAAAACUGAACAGAUGAGGGAAGCUCUGCCCCAAACAUAGUUGAAUAAAUAAUUAGUGCUUUGAAAGAUGGAGCUGAGGAGUUCACCCAGAACUCAGCACAGGAGAUAAAAAUGGAAAAUUAUGAGAGGGUAAUUACGAGACAUGGAAAAGAGUUUGAGAGGCUCCAUCCAAGAGGAGAUUCCAAAUAAAGGAUCAGAGCCAACAGCGGAGCCUGAAGAGAUGACAGUGAACAAUUCUCCUGAAUCCUCAGACAGAAAAGUGCCCACUGAAUGCUGAGUAGAAUAAAUAAGAAACCCGUGCCUAUACACGCUGUUCUAAAUCUGCAGAACAUCAAGAAUAAACAAGAAGAUCCUAAAAACAACCAGAGGAAAAAGAAAUUUUCCAUCCAGUAGAUUCCGGACUUGGAGCAGGACACAGUAGCUGGACGGCUUUGAGGUCCAUCCCACCGGGAAGGGGACGGUUGCACUGUGGCAAGAGAGGGAAUUUGGGGGCAUUAUUUGUAUGGAAAGGAAAUUACAUGGUUACGCUGGGAAUCCAGUGAAUAUCCAUUGUUUCACACGCCCAGAAGAGCAUCCCCUUUCCUCCUCGAGAUGUUCUUUCCUGACUAACCACGUGGUUCACAUGCGUGCUCCAUUCUCUUCUAAAUCCUGCCCCAGACACUGUUUAUUAGCCCAAGGAAGAGUACUUGACCUAAGGUGGCCAGUCAGAAUAGCUCAUCCUCAGCUUUGCUUGAUGGACCACAUUGGGUGAAUAAGAGCCCUUCCUUGAGAUUUUUGACCUUGAGACCAGAGAGACCAGGUCUUAGUAGCUCUCUGGAGGCGAAACUGUGAGAGGUGAGCCAUAGGCACUCCUGAAAGCCAUGCUUCCUGCCACGUGGACCAUGGCAAUCUGAGAGAGAAUAAGGUUGACCUGUGAAGAAAAACAAAGACUAGAGACAGGGUGAAUCUCGUCAGCGUGAGGAUCUGGGCCCAGCGUAUCUCUGCUCUUCUAGUCUUUUGUGAAUCUUCUCUAAAUUCUCCCUGUUAACUACACUUGUAAAAUUUAAAUUUCUAUUAUCUUCAAUUAAAUGAAUCUUAGUUAACGGAAUGAUGAGAUUGAUACUUUGUUACUCUUUAACUAUUUGCGUGUUUUCUUUGGGGGAAAUGUUUUUCUUUAUUUAUCUUCUGGGUCAUAUGUGGUUUUUUGUUUGUUUCUUUUAAAUAUGCAGUAUUUCCAAAACAAAUUUCUAUUUUCCAGAUCCCAGUCCUCUUUCUUUUUCCCCUUUCUCCCCUAAAGGCUUCCCCAUCUUUACACACACCCAAGCCAAGCACCUCAGUACCAUCGGCCCCUCCUGCUCUUGAUUGAAACCCCACAACAGAGCAGCCAUCAAAUCUCGUCUAUUCUCCCUUUGGAAAUCUCUCAGAUCUAUCCACUCACUUUUACAGUAAUUAACUCCCCACUGACAGGGUUGCAGGCAACACUCUCUCCUCCUGCUGAGUAUAAUUUGGAACUUUUCUGGAAGGGAAAUCUGGAACUAUAUUUCAAUAUUUAUACUUUUUUUUUUUUUUUUUGCUGAGGAAGAUUCACCCCAAGCUAACAUCUGUUGCCAAUCUGCCUCUUUUUGCUUGAGGAAGAUCUGCCCUGAGCUAAUAUCUGUGCCAAUCUUCCUCUAUUUUUGUAUGUGGAUCACCACCACAGCACGGCGAUUAACGAGUGGUGUAGGUCCCCACGUGGGAUCCGAACCAAGACCACUGAAGUGGAGCGUGUCAAACUCAACGACUAGGUCAUGGGGCGGUCCCAAAAUAUUUACACCUUUUGACCCAGCAAUUGCACCCUAAAAAUAAGGGAGGGAAGUCAAAGAUAAGAACAAAGGUUUUUUAAAAAAACAAGGACAUUUACAAUAAUGACACAUUUUAAAGUGAUAUUUAAUAAGAUAGAGUGUUACUUAAGAUAUAAUGCUUAUAAGACAUGAAACAUAUUUAUAGACAGUGUGAUUCUAAUUUCAUUAAAAAUAUACAUCAAAUUCAAUGAUUAUGCAAAAUUGCAUGUAAUCAAUAGACUUCAUUCUCCCUACCCUCAUUCUCAAACUGGCUGCCCACUGCCCUUCCCUUCUAAGGAUGAGAGGGUGAGGUUAGCCUCAAGGUCAUUAGGGAUUUUUCUCAGUUCAGUGGACAGAGUGCUGAAUGCAGAGUAAUUUUCAACAUCUUCAUAUUGUGACUUUUGUGACAAUAUAGACUCCCCCCAAUUGCUGUUUUCCAUUACUUUCACAGUAACGCAACCCCACACUUAAGACAAUUUAAUUUUUAUUCCCACACACAUCACAUUUUGGUAGGAUUUUACUGUCCUUGUAUAUACCUACAUAGAAAGGAACAUGUAAAGGAAACACACUGAAGUGUUAAUGGUAGUUGGCUUCGCAAGACAGGAGUUGGUUGAUUUUAAUAUUCUCCCAUAUCUUUAAAUAUUUUUGAAAAUGGGAUUGCUGAUGGCUGCUCAGCGUUUCAACAUAUGGGUGCACUCUAACUUAUUUAAUCAAAGCUGUAUUCUUGAACACAUUCUCCGCUGUUGUAAGCAAUGCUGUGGUGAACAUCUCGGGACCUACAUCUCUGCACCAGCUGGGUCCUGCAGAAUUACACAGAUAUGAACCAAAAAGUCUCCUGCCUUCCAGAGCAUGUCCUCCUUAGGAGAGGAGAGCAGACGUUUAGAGAACCAGCUACAAUGUGAGACAUCAUGUGGUGCCUGGGAUACAUCAGGGAACAGAACGAGAUCUCCGCCCUUGUGUGGCUUACAUUCUAGUGAGAGAAGACAGACCACGGACGCUAAGCAAUAAAUCAUGUCUUGGACUAGGACCAGCAGAGUCAACAGUCACUGAAAUGAACGGAGAGAAAGAGCUGCUCGGAAGAAGCAGGUGCUCUGGGCACCUGUGAGUAAACAGUUGGCCUGGGAUGUGUCUCGGACCAGACAAAGUGCUCAUGAUUCACGUGGCUGCUGUCUCAACCCAGACACCAGCGGGUCACUGCUCAUCCUGGCGCAGCUCCCUGAGGCUGGCUGACUGACCAAGACCUCCCAGCCCACCCCUGCAGCCACUAUCUCCUGCACAUGGCCAGGUGCAUAGAAGGGACACUGCUAGCAAGCAGAGGCAGGGGCAAGAACAACGGGGACUGGGCCGGAUGACUCACUGGAAAGCAGAGAGGAACAUGGAGAUGCACCAGCAGAGGCCUCCUCCCCCAGCUGGGGACUGGGCCCCAUCUUGGCUUUGGAGGCUAUGUGUUCAGCAGUUGUGGCAUCAGCCACUUUGUCACCCACCUUCAGGAGAUGACAGAGGGAGCCUGUUCCUUAAGUGUGGCCUUGAAAUGACCCAACAGGUGGCUUCUGGGGAGAUGGGGGGAGAAAGUAUCUGCUCCUGGGGCAGGUGCAGAGGUCUCCAGGGGGCUCUCCCCUCCCCCUCCUGCCCCCCUGGCCAAUUUGUGUGUGUGCGUGCGGGGAGUUGUUAUGCAGAGGGUGAAGAAGUUAUGUAAAAGCUGGAAAGGGUCCUGAGUUCCUGGGCUGAGGAAAAUCCCCCCAGAGUUCUGUAGUUCCCACUAGGAAAUGGGGAAUUCCCAGUAGCUUGUUGAGCGUGGCAGGGGAGGUGGAGGGGAGAAGGAACUAACCAGUCAGGGCUUCAUUAGCAAGGGUAUCCCUUCCUGAGGCAAGUCCCUGCUUAUACCCUGGAGGUAGAAGUGGGCAGUAGGAUCCAAGAUGCCCCUUCAAGGCUCAGGAUGUAGGGUGCUUGGUUCCCAUGCAAGGCAAGGUGGGCUGCCCAUCCCAAAACCCCUCCUCAUUCUGGGCUCCUGGUUCCUCAAGGUGCCUCUUCCUAGUCCUCUCCCAACGCUCCUCCCUGGCACUUCUUUAUUCCUCUCAGUCUUCUCCUCUCAUUUCCCUGCCUAGACUAGGAGAAAGCGGAGGGAAGGUCUUGUUCUCUUUGCAGAGGGUCCGCAGGGCACCCUGAGAAGAGCUGUGCUCACCUGCCUGCAGCAGCCAUGGGCUCAGGCUCUGUCUAGGCAAGUCACUCCAUUGCUCUGAGCCUAGGCUUGUUCCUCUGUAAAAUGACGAUGAUCCUUUGCAAAGCUGCUGUGAAGAGCCACUGUACAUAAGGGCUCUUUGUAAAUUUGCUUUAGACAUUCAGCUAUUCAUUUAUUCAAACAUCCAUUCUGCACAGUAUUUACUGAUGCCUAUGUGCUGGGCACUGUUCUAUGUGCUACAGAGGUAGCAAUGAACAAAAUCGACAGAAAUCCCUGUCCUCCUGAAGCUUACGCUUUAGUGGGAAAGAAGAGCAAGAAACUAACAAACAAAUAAGUAAAUAUUUAAUAUAUAAUACACAUAAUUUUCUGCCAUGCAGAAAAAUAAAGCAGGGUAAGGCAGCAGAAAGUGGAAUGGUUCCAUCUCAGGAUGCACAGGAAAGCCUCUCGGAGGAAGCGACAUUUGGACUGAGACCUGAAUAUAGUAAGGGAGAGGGCCAGGUGACAGUCUGGGGAAGAGCGUUCCAGGCAGCAGGAACAGCAGUGCCAAUGCUCUGAGGCAGGGAGGCACUUGGCUCCAGGACCAGCCUGGAGCCCCUGUGGCUGGUGUGGAGUGAGCAGGGCCAGGGUCGGGGGAUGAGGUCAGAGGAGAAGGCAGGGCCAAGGCCAGGAGGGCUUUGUUUAUCAGCAUAGGGAGUUUGGGUUUAUUCUAAGUAAUGGUUUUGAGCAGAGGAGUGACAUGCUCUGAUUUAUGCUUUUAAGAUUCCGCUGCAUGGGGAGUUCACUGCCAAAGUGGGGUGAGGAGAGCAGUUCUGAGGCUGUGAUCGUCAUUCACCACAUUGAUCCCCCUGCAGCCCUACCUCCAGUUGUCAUCCCAGAGCCAGGCACACAGUAUCUAGCUCCUUUCCUGUCUCUCCUCCUCUCCUCUUCCAAUCUCCAGGGUUACUCCCCACGCUCCACACAGGGGGCUGCCAGCAGCCUGCUCCAAGGGGUUUUUUCAGACUAGACCUCUCUGAGGCAUUCUGUUCUCUGUCCCCUUCUCCUGUUGGGACUCUCCACUCCCUGGGCAUCUUGGCACUCCACGUACCACCUGGGGCCCCCACAUGGGGUGCGAAUACAGAUUCCUGGACAAGGGCCACUCUCCGCCAUCCUUCUCCCCUCCUCCAGGGGCUCCUCUCCCCUGCCUGAGGCAUCAGUUCUGCCCCAGGUCCCUUUCCUCUCACUCAGACCGCAUUCCACUGUGACACCCUCCUGCCACUGCUGCUGGCACAGCUAUUGCACUCCCUGGUGAGUCAUUCCAUCACCAGUGUGCACCAGAUGCCCACAUCGGGCCCUCCUCUGGGUGAAGGUGAAUCAGACAGACUGAACCCCUGCCCUGAGGGAAGUCACAUUCCAAUGGUGGAGACAGAAAAACACAUAAACAACUUUACGAUAGAAUGAUGGGGAGUGAUGAAUGCUAUGAUGAAAACUGAGGCAGAGGAAACAGACAGGGAGUGAUGGGGUCAGGGGCUCCUCCAGAUAGAAAUCUGAGUUAUCUGAGUACUCAAGCCCCAUGAAUGUCUGAGGCAGGCAGAGAAAAGAGCAAGUACAGAGGCCCUGAGGUCAGAGAGGAGCUGGUAAAGAAGGCCAAUGUGGCUGGAGCAGGAGCAGGAUGAGGCUGCCUCAUGAAUAGUUCCAGACUCUCCUCUUUGCCUCAGACUCCGUGUCCUGUGACCAUCUGGACCUCUCCAGCUAGAGGUGAGCUGGGCGUAGCUGCGACUCCUCUUUCUCCCUCACCCCACACUCCUAGCCAAUCACAAGUUCCUCUAAACCCCCUUUAAAAUACUUCUCCCAUCUGUCUCCUCUCUUUCUGGGUCAGGCUCUCACCCUUGUCAUGUGGCUAUUGCAAAGGUCUCCUGGCUGGCUGACCUCUGAUCAGAAAGAUGAUGCAUACCUAGAGGAAGCUGAGUGACGAAGGCAGCCAAUAACACCGUCAAGGGAGGGCUCGGUCAAGGGAGGGCUGGACUGGCUGCAGGAAGCUGGAGGGAGCAGGGCAGGCUUCAUGGAGGAGGGAAAUCCCAUCUGCUCCCAGGUCAAUGACCAUAGACAGAUGGGGUCCCCAAAUCUCUCCUCCAACACAGACCUUGCUCCAGAGAGCUAGCCUUGUCUGCCCCCCUGGGCUCUUGCUUGCCCUCGACGGCCCCUCCGGGGACUCAAAGUGAACUUGUCCCAGUUUUCAUUCAUCAUCCCUCUGCCGCAGACCUGCUCCUCUCAGUAACACAGCCCCACUGACCACCUGCUUCAUCAGAAACCUGGGAGCCACGCUUGAUGCUUCCCCCCUCCACCCCUCUGCCUAAGCAGACACCAAGCCCAGUUAGCUGGAAAGAGCCCUGGGUGGCCAUCACGUGGUUCAAGCCACCCCUGCCUCCUACCCUGACUACAUAAAAUCACCUCCUCACGGGGCUCCGGGCCUGCCCUUGCCCUCCUCCAGUCUAUGGUCUACACUGUAGUCACUAUGGACCAUCUAAGGUGCAAAUCUGCUAUUGCGAGCCUCCGCUAUAAACCUUUCAUCGACUUCUCAUGGCUCUUAGGAUAAAGUCCAAACUGUGUGAGGCCCCUGGGUAACUCCCAGCCUCCUCUCUCACCACUCCUUCACACCCUCUACCCCAGACUUUAUGUCCAACUUUCAGUUCCUAGAAUGCACCAUCUCUUGUGUCAAGGCUUCCUACUUUCUGCUUUCUCUGGUCCCAACGUCCUUGCUGCCCCCUCCUCUCCAUGGUUCCCUUGCCUACCUAACUCCUACUCACUCCUCAAGAAAUCAGCAGUGUCACCUCCUCCGGCAAGCCUUCUAUGAUCUUCUCAAGGCUGGGUGAAGUGCUCCUCCCAGGUGUUCCCCUAGCACCCUGAGCUCACCUUGCUACAUUGCAAGUACCUAUGUAUGUCUCUGUGCCCUCUGUAAGCCUGGCAGGUCCACGAGGGCUUAUCUUGUCGAGGUUGUUGGUGGUGGAAACCUCAGUUCUUGGCCCAGAGCUUGGCACACAGAAGGUGCUCAACAAAGAUUUCUUGAAUGGAUGGAUGGAUGACAUGUGAAUGGAAACGGGGUUUAAAGUAUGGGUGCAUCGGAAAGGAAAAGGCAUUCUAGCAUAGGGAAUGAUGGAGCAGGUGCUCAGAGGUGAAGCUGUGGAGAUGGCCAUGGGCACUGUCACACUCAGGAGCAGAGGAGGCCACCCUGAUUGGAGCCGAGGGCAUGAGGGGAGUGAAGGACGAUGACGUCAAAAAGAGAGUUUGGAGCCAAGCUAAGGCAUCUGGACUUUAUUCUAGAGGCAGUGAGGAGCCUCCCAAGGUUAUCAGCAAGCUGUGACAUGGUCAAAGACACACUCAGGAACAUCUAUCUGGUGUGGCCUGCUGGCUGACCUGCAGGGCCCAGUGGAGAGAGGAGAAUUUCGAGACCACCUCCACCUUAGGGGGCCCCAGGGAGCCUGUUCUGAGCCCUUCUUUCGGCUGGCAAAACCUCGUCCAGCCGUAGGCUUCUGGCAGCCCUGGGCUGUGGAAGGAAAGCUCCCACCCAGAGCUUCCUCCUCCAGGGACAGGGGCUGAUCGCCCUUCCUGGUGACUCAGCCUAGAGGGGGCAGCUCCAAGAAGAAAGUCAUUGUUGACAGGAAGAGGGGUCAGAUUUUCCUUUCCCUGGCAGGCCAGCUUCCUGGGUACCAAGACAGCAACACAAGACAACAGAGUGGGGAGGGAGGCCCCUGAAUGGGCUGGGACCACGCCCGCCCCAACCCAUGCUGCCCGCCUACCUGCUCGGGACCCACAGAACCACAUGACAGACGGACAACCUGACAGCACCAGUUGUUGGUGAGUCAGGCAGCCCUGGAAACACUCUUACAGCCAGUUGGGGGUGUGUGAGGGCCAUGAAGGAGAGAGGAGGUGCCAUUCCAGGUUCCCAGGCUGGUCAGGGCAACGGGGCACACCAGCUAGAGCUGGUUCUGAGGCGUGCCUUCUGAGGGCAAUGCUGGGGUCAGUGAGGUCAUCAGAGUUGGGGUCAAAGUCUAGCAAGGCUUCUAAAGGAAGUGAGAAUUGAAGGAGGAGACAGAAGGCUACAGGCCCUCAGAAGGGUGUGAUCUGGAACUGGGACCGGGUCAGGAAACCAGUCCCUCUGACCCAGAAGCUGCCCAGAGCUAGCCCACUGUAGCAGUCACCAUGGCAGGCUGGCUCCAACUCCAAAAGUUGUUGGAGUUUAGAAUGUUAGGGUUUUAAAAUUUCUGUAGAAGAGUGAGGUCACUUGUGGUGGCCUAGUUCCUGCGCGAGGCCAUCCCACAGAAUUCUGUGUGAGCCAGAACGUUUAGUAAGGGCAGGCUGCAGUGCCUCUGGUCAACAAUGCUGUAUUGUACACUUAAAAUUUUGUUGAGGGAAUGUCUCCUGGUAAGUGUUCUUACCACAAAAACAAACAAAGCAAAACACAAAGGGACACAAGGAAACUUUUGGAGGUGACGGCUUUGUCCAUCCCCUUGGUUGUGGGGAUGGUUUCCUGGGUAUGUGCUUAUGUCCAAACUCAUCAAAUUGUUUACGUUAAAUACGUACAGCUUUUAGUACAUCAAUUAUACCUCAAUAAAGAUGUAAAAAGAGAGAGAGAGAGACAGCUGCAAGUUUGGGUCUGGAGAUAGGGAACAGAGGGGUCUUGGAGGGGAUCUGGAAUCCGUAUGCACACAGGCAUUUUCUCACCCAACAACAAGCAUAGGAACAUUGAACCAGAGGCCAGGACUUCUAAGUUCUCUUCCAGUUCCGUGGUCUGUCUCUGGGAGUGGCUCUAGGGAAGCCCACCGCAUCCCCAGUGUCUGGAAUUCCAACCUCCCCUGCACAGGAGGAAGUGGAAUCCAGACCCUCUUGCUCACCUGCUGGAAGGUGGGAGGGGGGCACCUCUGGCUGCAGGCAGUGGGUAGCUGGCUUUAGCAAGCCUGGGACCCAGAGAUAGAUGCAAAGGGCAGAAACGGGUGCCACACCUGGGCUGAGGGCUUUGAGCCUGGCAGUGUGAGGAGAGAAAGGUGAGGAGGGAGCUGGACUGAGGGGUGGGACAUUGAGAAAAGGAAUAUAUCCUGGGAAAGGGACUGAGGAUCAGGACAGAGAGGAGACAUGCCUCUCCCACAGCCCCCGCAGCCCCCUGAAUUGUCGAUCGGAAGGAACCCGGAUGUUCCUUUCUGUCCUGUCCUUCUUCACUUCCCUCCUCCGGGUCCUCCCAGGACUACACACCCUUCUGCUGGCUCGGAGCCGGGCUAAAGGCAGAAGCAGGAGCCCACAGCAGAGCUGGUGUGUCCCUCUGCCUGGAAGUGUCUUCUCUCUGUUGCCACAGAGCUUUCUCCUUGUCAUGUCAGUCUUGGCUUAAAUGUCACACCUUCCAGAAGCUAUCCCUGAUCAUCUUCUAAUGUAGACCAGCCUGAUGUCACUGUCACAGUCCCUAAUUCAUUCUCAUGACAGCCUUGACCACUACCUGGCAUUCUCUCUUAUUUCUUUCCUCGUUUGUUCCUGUACCCCCAUCCGAAACGUGAGCUCCACCAGCCCAGGGACCCUGUCUGCGUUGCUCACAGCUGUACCCCCAGCAACUAGAACAGUGCCUGGCACAGAGUAGGUGCUCAAAUAUGUAGUUUAUUCAUGAAUGAAUAGUAAUUGCUAACAUUUAUUGAGUGCUGACCAGAUGCCAAGCACUUUCUUGACGUUUUAACUCUGGGUCAGCAAACUACGAGCCUCAGGACAAAUCUGGCCCCCCACCUAUUUUUAUAAAUAAAGCCUUAUUGGCCUGCACGCCCAUUCGUGUAUGUAUAGUCUAGGUCUCCUUUCGAGAUAUGGUGGCAGAGCUGAAUAGUAGUGACAGAGACGGAUAGCCAGGAAACCAAUAAUACUUACUAUCUGGCCCUUUACAGAAAAGGUCUGCUGAACCCCGGGUGAACUCAUUGAAUCUUCUCCAGUACCACUGUGGCCAGUGCCAGCACCAUCAUCAUCUCACACAUGGCCCAGGUCACACAGUUAGUGAGGACAGAGGUUGGAUUCGAACCCAGACAGUCUUGCUCCAAGGCCCCUGUUCCUAGCUAAAGCCUUUCUAGGAGGGGACAGGAAGGGAAAGGGAAGGUCAGGAGAGUCAUAGACACGUGGGGUGGCCUGUAAAAAAGGAAAGGAAAGUGGAAAAUAGAGGAACUUAGGGCAGCUGGGAGGCCAGCAGAGCCCUUAGUACCCUGGGCCAUUGGCUUUGAGGCUUAGCCCUACUCUGAGACCCAGGGCUCUCAAAUUCUGUUCCCAGAGCAGGAGUCCCACCCCUAAACACAAAUAAAGAUGCCCUUUCCUCAAACUGAAGACGGAGUGA
ensembl:lncRNA